rnacentral:rRNA from 1 species
UACGGGGGGAGCAAGCGUUGUUCGGAUUUACUGGGCGUAAAGGGCGCGUAGGCGGUCAGCACAAGUCAGUUGUGAAAUCUCCGGGCUUAACUCGGAAAGGUCAACUGAUACUGUGCGACUAGAGUGCGGAAGGGGCAACUGGAAUUCUCGGUGUAGCGGUGAAAUGCGUAGAUAUCGAGAGGAACACCUGAGGCGAAGGCGGGUUGCUGGGCCGACACUGACGCUGAUGCGCGAAAGCCAGGGGAGCGAACGGG